rnacentral:rRNA from 1 species
AGAGUUUGAUCCUGGCUCAGGAUGAACGCUGGCGGCGUGCCUAAUACAUGCAAGUCGAGCGAACAGAUAAGGAGCUUGCUCCUUUGAAGUUAGCGGCGGACGGGUGAGUAACACGUGGGUAACCUACCUAUAAGACUGGGAUAACUUCGGGAAACCGGAGCUAAUACCGGAUAACAUUUAGAACCGCAUGGUUCUAAAGUGAAAGAUGGUUUUGCUAUCACUUAUAGAUGGACCCGCGCCGUAUUAGCUAGUUGGUAAGGUAACGGCUUACCAAGGCGACGAUACGUAGCUGACCUGAGAGGGUGAUCGGCCACACUGGAACUGAGACACGGUCCAGACUCCUACGGGAGGCAGCAGUAGGGAAUCUUCCGCAAUGGGCGAAAGCCUGACGGAGCAACGCCGCGUGAGUGAUGAAGGGUUUCGGCUCGUAAAACUCUGUUAUUAGGGAAGAACAAAUGUGUAAGUAAUUGUGCACAUCUUGACGGUACCUAAUCAGAAAGCCACGGCUAACUACGUG